rnacentral:rRNA from 1 species
GACGAACGCUGGCGGCGUGCUUAACACAUGCAAGUCGAACGGAAAUGCCCUGCUUUUGUGGGGUGCUCGAGUGGCGAACGGGUGAGUAACACGUGAGUAACCUGCCCUUGACUUUGGGAUAACUUCAGGAAACUGUGGCUAAUACCGGAUAGGAGCUCCUGCUGCAUUGUGGGGGUUGAAAAGUUUCGGCGGUUGGGGAUGGACUCGCGGCUUAUCAGCUUGUUGGUGGGGUAGUGGCUUACCAAGGCUUUGACGGGUAGCCGGCCUGAGAGGGUGACCGGCCACAUUGGGACUGAGAUACGGCCCAGACUCCUACGGGAGGCAGCAGUGGGGAAUAGUGCACAAUGGGCGGAAGCCUGAUGCAGCAACGCCGCGUGCGGGAUGACGGCCUUCGGGUUGUAAGCCGCUUUCGCCUGUGACGAAGCGUGAGUGACGGUAAUGGGUAAAGAAGCACCGGCUAACUACGUG